rnacentral:rRNA from 2 species
AGGUGUGAUCAUACCACCACUAAUGCACUGGAUCCCAUCAGAACUACGCAAUCAAGCGUGCUUCGGAGAGAGUAGUGCUAGGAUGGGUGAUCUCCUGGGAAGUCUUCGUGUUAAACCUC